UACAGAGGUCUCAAGCGUUGUUCGGAUUCAUUGGGCGUAAAGGGUGCGUAGGCUGCGCGGAGGGUGGGAUGUGAAAUCCCCCGGCUCAACCGGGGAAUAGCGUCCCAAACCGCCGUGCUCGAGGGAGACAGAGGUGAGCGGAACUGAUGGUGGAGCGGUGAAAUGCGUUGAUAUCAUCAGGAACACCAGUGGCGAAGGCGGCUCACUGGGUCUUUCCUAACGCUGAGGCACGAAAGCUAGGGGAGCGAACGGG
rnacentral:rRNA from 1 species